AUAUAUAUAUAUAUAUACUCGAAAAUCCAACGUAAAGUCGACACUCGAUUUUCACCACACUAAUGUCGACACGAUACAUUUUAGGCAUUUUCCAGUAAAUACAAGUUAAAAUAGUAUGAGAAAUGAUUUGAUUGAUGUUUAUUAGCGUAAAUAAAGACAUAUCUUUUACACAAAAUAUGAUAGCAGAUAUAAUUAAGAAAUUUGGAGGGUCGUGUCGACUUUAUCCUCUUAUAUAGUGUCGACUUUAUCCUUUUUGAUGCCAAAGUCGACAUCAAAAAUGUAUAUAUUUUAUAAAGGGAAAUUACUUUUCAAGUCUUAUUUGACUAUUUGCUAAAAUAUGUAGGUCAGUGCAUUAUUUGUGUGAAUAACAGUCGUUUUAUAUUUGGGAAACAAAUAAGAAUCCUAAUACCCUUUAUUCUGAAUUUAAAAAAUAGUUAUAGAUCUUGAUUUGCAUUUUACUCAAAUAUUCACGGUGAUCUAAAUAUAGAUAUAGAGUUGUCUCGCAUCUGUGGAAAUCCCCGACGUACUUUCGUUUUGGAGUAUAUAUAUAGAUAUCAAAUCAACAUGCAAGAAUCGCAACAGCAAAGAUUAUGUCUGCCAAAAGUGCCAAUAGUUCCAUUUUAACGGGAUUCAGCAACUAGAAGAAUGCCACUCCAAAGAUCCGAAAA